GUCUAUUGCCAUACCAUCCUGAACGCGCCCUCUCUCAUCUGACCACGGAAGCUAAGUAGGGUUGGGCCUGGUUAGUGCUUGGAUGGGAGACCGCCUGGGAAUACUGGGAUCUGUAGGUU
rnacentral:rRNA from 1 species